rnacentral:SRP_RNA from 1 species
UGCCAGGGCCCAUGGAAUGGGGACUUACGAACCCCGCCAGGGCAGGAAUGCAGCAACGGCAGUUUGCUCUCCAUCCGCCGUGGUCACCCUGGCUUUU